CAGGGGGAGAAGGGCAGGAGGAGCGACACCCCGGAGUUUAGAGCAGCAAGCAGUUCCUGCUCUCCCCGCCCCACUCCCACAGCACAUGGGGGACUUUGAGAGAUGCAGACGUGGCUCUACCACCCGCUGUCCCCAUGGCCUCCAAAUCAGGUCCAAACUCCUGAGUGUGGCAUGCAAGGCCCUUUGAGGUCUUGUGCCCCCUCCUUCCGCUCUGGGCCUUUGGCCAUGACAGGCUCUCAGCUGCAUGUGCGGGGCCUUUGCACAUGCUGAGCCUGCUGCCCAAAACAGCCGUGCUGCCUCCUUCCAUGCUGCCUGGCUGAGUUCCACUUCUGCUCACCGGCUCUGUGGUCCUUCCCUGACCUUCCCCUCCCUGGCCAUCUUCUGUGCUCCAGGGCCCCGUGCUUCUGACUUUGAGGAGCUAGUCUAGGGGUCAGGCCAGGGCCAGACCACAGCAGUGACUGUUACUCAAGUUCACAAUGCGAAUUUGUCCCGGUUAAGAGUCACCCCCAGAUUAGUAGAGCACACUCCUGGGAGUGAGACUGGCACGAGGGUUAGCAAAUGGGGGGGAAGGCCCGCCCUGGCGGGGGUGGCUCCAGCCAAUCGGCUUGCAGGCAGAUGGAAUGAAAGGGAAGGAGGAAGUCCGCCUGCACUUGAAGAGCUCCCUUCUGCGGAGCCUGGGCGUCUUUUGCUGCCGUCCCCUGAGGACACCAGACUCCAGCUUCUCCAGCCUUGCAAGGCAGACUCACACCAGCGGCUCCCCAGGGAGCUUCCAGGCCUGCGGCCUCGGACUGGCGCUGCCUCCUUGGCCCGUCUUGUCUUGCGGCGUCAGCUCCUUGAUCCAGCACGCAGAUGGCCAUGUGGACCCCGCCUGUCCUGUGAGCCUCCCUAAUAGAUCCUCGCACAAUUCUCCGAGUAGAACUGGCGGUGCUCCCGGCGCGGCCGCUAGAGGGCGAACGAGGACCGUGGCGUGCAGACGCCCCGUCUACACCGUCUCACCCUGCUGCUCAGCGUCAUCAUCUGAGAGCUUGAAAAACCCCAGUGUCCAGGUUGCGAGUGAGGCAGAUGAAGCUGAGCUCUGGGUGGGGAGUCAGCCAAGGCCCGAGCAGCAGAACCUCUCCAAGCUCCCCAGAUGCUGCCAAGGUGCAGCUGGGCUUGCAAAUGCAUGUGCCAG
rnacentral:lncRNA from 1 species